rnacentral:rRNA from 1 species
UUUAGAGAAGUAAAAGUCGUAACAAGGUUUCCGUAGGUGAACCUGCGGAAGGAUCAUUACAGUAGUCGCCCGGGUUGCCGCAAGGCCUCCCGGGUAACCUACCACCCUUUGUUUAUCACACUUUGUUGCUUUGGCAGGCCUGCCCUCGGGCUGCUGGCUCCGGCCGGCGAGCGCCUGCCAGAGGACCUAAACUCUGUUUGUCUAUACUGUCUGAGUACUAUAUAAUAGUUAAAACUUUCAACAACGGAUCUCUUGGUUCUGGCAUCGAUGAAGAACGCAGCGAAAUGCGAUAAGUAAUGUGAAUUGCAGAAUUCAGUGAAUCAUCGAAUCUUUGAACGCACAUUGCGCCCCCUGGUAUUCCGGGGGGCAUGCCUGUCCGAGCGUCAUUACAACCCUCAAGCUCAGCUUGGUGUUGGGCCCCGCCGCCCCGGCGGGCCCUAAAGUCAGUGGCGGUGCCGUCCGGCUCCGAGCGUAGUAAUUCUUCUCGCUCUGGAGGCCCGGUCGCGUGCCCGCCAGCAACCCCCAAUUUUUUUCAGGUUGACCUCGGAUCAGGUAGGGAUACCCGCUGAACUUAAGC